AUGAGCAUGACAGGCUCCUGGUUUGGAAAUGACAAGACCCCCACCCCUACCCCAUUUACGGCAGGGUCAGCUCACGAAGCUAAUGCCGUGGAUUAUAACUGCCUUUCUUUGGACUCGUUACGACCUGUUUCACUUCAGUCGCUGCAAGAUCUUCACUCUGUUAACAAGGUUCUGCUUCAUCGUUUCCCACGGCAAACCUUAAUUCCACUAGACAUGGAGCCUGAGGNNNNNNNNNNNNNNNNNNNNNNNNNNNNNNNNNNNNNNNNNNNNNNNNNNNNNNNNNNNNNNNNNNNNNNNNNNNNNNNNNNNNNNNNNNNNNNNNNNNUGGAGCCUGAGGUAACUGUUUCUGCAAAUGUGGUGCUAAUAAAUAAUGGAAGAUGUUUACUUUUCAACUUGAUGACAAACAGACUUGGGACAAGUCCUGGGAUUUAGCUCAGCUGCCUUCUUUUUUUACAGUGAUUUUUGUGACGUCUUAAGUCAGGCAGAAGAGUCAGGCCAGAGUGUCCAUCCAGUGGGUUAUUCUGGGCUUGCUCUGACCCCUGGAGGUUGGGGGAGGGGCCCCUCUAGCCUUGGUACAUCAACGGGGAGAUGUGCCUUGGAUGCCAUAUGCUACACAUGGUCCAAAAUGCAGUGCUUGGAAGUAGCCUUCUGUUCAUGCAGAUUUAGCAAAAGGUAGCUCAUGGCAGCAUUUUCAAUAGCAAAAAACUGGAAAUUAAUGCUAAUGAUAGUGGAACGGUUAAGUUUUGGUAUACCCACAGAAGAAAUAGUCUACCGCUACUAAAAGUAGAAAUCAAAAAGAUGUCUUGACUUGGAAAUGUUUCUAGAUAAAUGCAGAAAGUCAGGUUUCCAAAUAGUACUGAAGGUAUGAUCUAGUUUUUGUGGGGGAAAGGUUUUUAUGCAAUACUCCUAUUGAUAAAUAAUCUAGAAGGAUAGUCCAAAGUAGUGCAAGUGUUGACCAUAGAUCAUGGCAGGCCUUCCAUCCUUCACUUGCUGCAUUUUCUAAUAUUUCUGCAUUAAGGGUUUAAUAAAAGACAUCAGAAAUGUGGGGUCAUUGGCUACAUGAAUUAUGUCAUGCACGCCACCCAAGAGGUGAUUCUGGAGACAUUCUUGACUCUCUUCACCACCGCACUUCAUUUUUUUUAGAUUUGUGGCCAGUGUAAGGUCAGCCUUCUUGAUGCUGCCGACUUCCCUGCAUUCAACUUUUAUUUCCAGAUGAAAUCCUGUAUUUAUGAUUUGUUUUGCAUUGACAGUGAUUUUUUUUCCCUAAUAAAUCCAGAGCCAAUUCCACUUGUCUUAGCUCAGAACCCAUUUCCCAGAUACCCAAGAAGCAUUUAAGAAAUGCUUUCUGAGAUUAAAAUUGACUCAAAACUAGAGCACUUACCAUAAUAUUCAUCUAAGGCUCAAGUGCUCACUACAGAGUGGAUUUUUGGAGUCUUCGUAUGUAAGAAUGAUUUCCUUGAUCUUGCAGGAAACUCUGCAGGGUUCGUGUGUCCUGCUUGUGGUUAUUCUUUAGUAUGGUGCACUACCUGCGCUGGGAGCCUUAGAUUGUGUUACCUGUUAGAAGGUAUAGACGCUCGAUAGUCAAUUCACAUACAGACAAGACUGAGAGGUGUUUGAUUCCGAAGCAAACAUGUGCUUGCUUGGGACAUUAGCUGUGGCUGACCAGCUGUGGGCACUGCUUUAUAGAGCUCAGGGGCAUUAGUCAUUUUUCUUGACUGAUUACAAACAGAUGUGGUUUGUUUGUACUAAGAUGUGAAUCAUCCACAGUACCUUUCAGACAGUUUCAGAGGGAGUGUUGGAGAAAUUUGGGGACAAGAAGUAACCAGUCUCUAGAAGUACUGUCAGCCCUCCAUAUCUAUGGGUUUUGCAUCUCUGGAUUCAACCAAAUUCAGAUUGAAAAUCAUCAGAGAAACAAUUGUUAGAAAGCUCUAGGAGACCACACUUGAAUUUGCCAUGCACUGGCAGCUGUUUACAUCAUCUUUACGUUGCAUUAGGUAUCGUGAUAAACUUUUUGCUCAGUCACUAAGUCAUGU
ensembl:lncRNA